rnacentral:rRNA from 1 species
AUACGGAGGAUCCGAGCGUUAUCCGGAUUUAUUGGGUUUAAAGGGUGCGUAGGCGGUUUGCUAAGCGGGAGGUGAAAUGCCGGCGCUCAACGUCGGAAGUGCCUCCCGAACUGGUGGACUGGAAUGACUCUGCCGUGGGAGGCAUGUGUAGUGGAGCGGUGAAAUGCUUAGAGAUUACACAGAACACCGAUUGCGAAGGCAUCUCACGAAGGGUUGAUUGACGCUGAGGCACGAAAGCGUGGGGAUCAAACAGGAUUAGAUACCCUGGUAGUCCACGCAGUAAACGAUGAUGGCUAACCGCUGGUUUUUUCGGAUCAGUGGCCAAGCGAAAGCGAUAAGCCAUCCACCUGGGGAGUACGACCGCAAGGUUGAAACUCAAAUGAAUGGACGGGG